rnacentral:rRNA from 1 species
CCAUGCUAGUCGAGCGAGUUUAGACUCGCGGCGCAUAGCUCAGUAACACGUGGCCAAGCUCCCCUUCAGUCAGCGAUACCCUCGGGAAACUGAGGCUAAUAGCUGAUAGAAAACGCCAGCUGGAAUGCGGCGUUUCCGAAAGACACCGCUGAAGGAUGCGGCUGCGGCCGAUUAGGUAGACGGUGGGGUAACGGCCCACCGUGCCAGUAAUCGGUACGGGUGAUGAGAGUCAGAGCCCGGAGACGGAAUCUGAGACAAGAUUCCGGGCCCUACGGGGCGCAGCAGGCGCGAAACCUUUACACUGCACGGAAGUGCGAUAGGGGAAUCCCAAGUGCGAGGGCAUAUUAGCCCUCGCUUUUCUCGACUCUAAGGUGGUCGACGAAUAAGAGCUGGGCAAGACCGGUGCCAGCCGCCGCGGUAAUACCGGCAGCUCAAGUGAUGUCCCAUAUUAUUGGGCCUAAAGCGUCCGUAGCUGGCCGACCAAGUCUAUCGGGAAAUCCACCUGCCCAACAGGUGGGCGUCCGGUAGAAACUGGCCGGCUUGGAACCGGAAGGCUCAGAGAGUACGUCCGGGGUAGGAGUGAAAUCCCGUAAUCCCGGACGGACUACCGAUGGCGAAAGCACUCUGAGAAGACGGAUUCGACAGUGAGGGACGAAAGCUCGGGUCUCAAACCGGAUUAGAUACCCGGGUAGUCCGAGCCGUAAACAAUGCUCGUUAGGUGUGGCACCCACUACGAGUGGGUGCUGCGCCGUAGGGAAGCCGCUAAACGAGCCGCCUGGGAAGUACGUCCGCAAGGAUGAAACUUAAAGGAAUUGGCGGGGGAGCACUACAACCGGAGGAGCCUGCGGUUUAAUUGGACUCAACGCCGGACAUCUCACCAGCCCCGACAUCAGUAAUGACAGUCAUGUUGACGACAUCCGCCCGAGCUGAUGAGAGGAGGUGCAUGGCCGCCGUCAGCCCGUACCGUGAGGCAUCCUGUUAAGUCAGGCAACGAGCGAGAUCCACAUCCCUAAUUGCCAGCACCACCGCCAGGUGGGUGGGUACAUUAGGGAGACUGCCGCUGCUAAAGCGGAGGAAGGAAUGGGCAACGGUAGGUCAGUAUGCCCCGAAUGGGCUGGGCAACACGCGGGCUACAAUGGUCAGGACAACGGGUUCCAACACU